AUUGAACGCUGGCGGCAUGCUUUACACAUGCAAGUCGAGCGGCAGCGCGGGGCAACCUGGCGGCGAGCGGCGAACGGGUGAGUAAUGGAUAGGAACGUAUCCGCGAGUGGGGGAUAACUAGCCGAAAGGUUAGCUAAUACCGCAUACGCUCUGAGGAGGAAAGCGGGGGAUCGCAAGACCUCGUGCUCACGGAGCGGCCUAUCUCCGAUUAGCUAGUUGGUGGGGUAAAGGCUUACCAAGGCGACGAUCGGUAGCUGGUCUGAGAGGAUGAUCAACCACACUGGGACUGAGACACGGCCCAGACUCCUACGGGAGGCAGCAGUGGGGAAUUUUGGACAAUGGGGGCAACCCUGAUCCAGCCAUGCCGCGUGCGGGAAGAAGGCCUUCGGGUUGUAAACCGCUUUUAUUCGGGAAGAAGGAGUGAGGGCUAAUACCCUUCAUGACGGACGGUACUGGAUGAAUAAGCACUGGCUAACUACGUGCCAGCAGCCGCAGUAACAC
rnacentral:rRNA from 1 species